GUGGGCUAAAAGAAUGAGCCACUACAGGAGAACUCUAAAAAAUCAUAGGGACAAUGAGAGGUGGCAUAGGACGUAGGCACUUAACAAGUGCUUAUUGGCUGACUAGAGACAGACAAAAGCCUUGAUUUAUAAAACAACUGAGGAGGUCACUUCUUCAAACAAUAAGUAGGGAUCUUUGGCCCCUUACUGUCAUUUUGACUUGGAUGACUUGGAUGAAGGUGGAGACGGCAUGCUUGUAAUGUGGGAGAAGGGGACCCCAAACUCUAUAUCCAAGACGACUUCUUUUCCACCUAAUACCAGUGUCACAAUGAACACAUAUAGAGAAAAGCAAAGAAGGCCAACUAUCCAAAUGAUAGCAAAACAGGAAUCAGAGAAGGGUAAGAAAAGAAAUUGUUCCUCCGACUGGCUGUCACCUGAGAGAGAUUUAUCCCUGCCCCCCCAAAGACCUGCCCAGAAGCAGAAGUCUGCCAGUUAGACCAUCUAAUAUUAAAUCACAAUACUCUGCAUGCAUGUGGGGCCCAUGAAAAUUGGACGUUGGUCUAAGCUUCUGAAGUUGGAAGCAAAUGUUUGAACACUUGGAUGAAAUUUCCAGACUUGGCAUUUUGUGGAAAGAGAGUCUUCCAGAUUCCAGUGCAGAAUUGCAUGAAUGUGGACAUACUGAGGUUAAGGUUUGGCCUUUUGAUGCCUACCAGGAAUUGGUUCAAAAAACUCACUUCCAGAAGAUGUCCUAGAUUAAUAGCGAUGUAACCUGAUUUUCUACAUUGUCCAUAGUUAUAGGAUUAAGAUUAAACUCCUAAUGAUUCCCCAGAGGUGCCAUAAUAUCCACAACCACCAUAGAAAGAGCCAUUUUCUAACUCAGGGCUAUGUUGGAGCCAGUUUGAACCAGCUCUUAAGAGAGUCAUUUGUUAAAUUUUCAGCAUGAGCAUUUAUGGCUCUGGAAGUCAGCAAGCAUUACAAAUCAUGACUUGAAUGUUUUGCUGAUUGUCUAGAUUUAAGGAAAUGAUGAAGAGAAUGUUUAAAAUGUUAAUUAAAUUUUAAAAGGUGUUGUGAACAAUAUUUUUUUUAGGAGAGCUGGUUAUUAAACAUUUACCAGCACACUCCUGGUUAGCUUCUUUAUUUUACUCUCCUUAUUAAGACACGGAAGUUUCAGCAAGAGUUGAAGCAAAAGGAAUUUUCUUCCAAAUCCUCACUUAACUAGAAAAUUUGAUUAUCUAGGACUCUACAUUUUUCACGUGAAAAACAAACAAACAUCUGAAGGGUUCUAGUGUACAUCAAACCCUGUAGGAGUUGGCAUUGUGACAUAGUAGCCAGAAAAGUCAGUGUAAUAAUAGGCAGUUUUAUGAGAGGUAUAGUUUCCAGAGUUAUAGAAUAUUAUUGUGCUCUCUUCUCGUUGUAUCAUAUUUGGAGUAUUGUGUUCAGCACUAGCUGCUGCAUUUCUAGACUUUGGCAAGCAUUGCUAAGAGGGUAAGGGGACUGGAGUCCAUGAGAUGGAGUAUAGAAAUUGGGGAUGCUUAGUCCUAGAGAAGAAAAUACAUGAGAGGGGGGGAUAUCCUAAUUGUCUUAUACUAUAAUGACCUUCCAGUAUAUUUCUAGCAUAUUCAUACUUACAUUACAAUUUGGCCACUUCCCAAUAGGAAGAUACACUUCUUAUUUUCUUGGUUUUGGCCACCCCAAAAAGAGCUACUUCAAAUAUUUCUAUACAUAUGGGUCCUUUUCCUCUUUCUUUGAUCAGUUUGAAGAACAGGCAGGGAUAUACAGGUAAAUGCUUAACAACUGGCUCUCUGAAAUAAAAAAAAAUUAUUCCCAAGUCUUUUUAAUUUAACCUGUAUUAUUAAUUUAAUUAGUUGAAUCUGCAUUAUUCUCCAUCACUUUCUCUCAGACUGAGUUCCUUAUCUGUGAAAUGAAGAAUUUAUUAAGCACAAUUAUUUAUGUAAAACUGUGUUAAGCUCUGAGAUACAAAUAGAAAAGUAAGACCCACAAGAAGCUUACAUUCUAAUGGGGGAGACAACAGAUGGAAAAACAAGACACCACCUAGCUGCCCUUUCAAUAUGUCGAAAGCAGAACUCAUUUUUUUCCUAAAACCCUCCUCCGAACAGAAAUUCUCUAAUGCUAUCAGGAACAACCAUAUCCCACUUCCUUAAUCUGAGACAUCUUCUCUUUCUCCACUCCAUAUUAACAAAGAAACACCAUAUUUUAGUUAUUCUAUUCCCUCUUUUUAAAAAUUUAAUAAUUUAUUUUCCCAGUUACAUGUAAUAAUCUUCUACAUACAUUUUCUGAAAUUAUAAUAUCCAGAUUGUUUCUCUUCCUUCCCCUCUUCCUGAUAUGGCAAGCAAUUUGAUCUGGGUUAUACAUGCAUAAUCUUGCAAAAUAUAUUUCCAUAUGGGUCAUGCUGUGAGAAUACUCAUAUGAACCCCAAAUAAAAACACAGAAAAAUAAAGUGAAAAAUAGUAUCUUUGACCUGCAUUCAGUCUCCACCAGUUCUUUAUUUGAAGGUGAAAAGCAUUCUUUGUUAUAAGUCCUUCAGAAUUGUCUUCGAUCACUAUAUUGCUCAGAAUAGCAACAUUUUUUUCACAUUUGAUCAUCAUACAAUAUUGCUGUUACUGUAUACAAUAUUCUCCUGGUUCUGCUCACUUCACUCUGCAUCAGUUCAUGCAGGUCUUUCCAGGUUUUUCUGAGAGCAUCCUGUUCAUGAUUUCUUAAAGCACAAUUGCAUUCCAUCCCAAUCAUAUACCACAACUUGUCCUGCCAUUCCUCAACUUGGUAUCGCUUCUAUCCAUCACCUUUUCUCUACUCCAUUGGCUACCCUCCUAUUCCUGCCUUUAACAUCUUUCUCUUGGACUUAUUGCAAAAGUCUCUUAAUUGGACUCUUGGCUUUCAGUUUCUCUCUUCUCUCAUUGCCUCUUUGGCUGAAACAUGUUCCUUUAUUACUGCCACCUCUUAGAAUUCCUUCAAACCUGAGCUCAAGUGCCAUUUUUUAAUAUGAAGUCUUUCAUCAUUUCCCUAGUUGCUGGUGCCCCCCCAUUCCCUAAUAAACAUGUGCACUACAUACAUAAAAUAUAUACAUGCAUAAUCUACAUAUAGCUAAUAUUUAUAGAGAACUUAUGAUGUGCCAAGCACUGCACUAAGUACUUUACAGUUAUUAUCUCAUUCAAUCCUUACAAUAAACCUGGGAGGUAGGUGCUAAUAUAAUUCUCAUUUUACAAAUAAGGAAACUCAGUCAAACAAAGUCUGACUUGUAGUGUUUGAGUCCACAUUUGAACUCAGGUCUACUUGACGCCACGCCCAGUACGCUAACCACUAUACUACCUAGCUGCUUGUAUAAAUGAGUAUGUAUGUCGGUGUGUAUUUAUAUACAUAUGUAUGCAUAUAGAUACACACAUAUAUGUAUAUAUGCAUAGAUAAACUUAUUUAUGGAGUCAUGUACAUUCUCUAGAUAUAUACACAUGUGUAUAUUAUGAUAUACACAUAUGUAUGUAUGUUUAAUUGAUUAAAUUAAUACAUGUGUCUACAUGUCUGCAUAUUUAAUAUUUAAUGUAAUAUGGUAGGAUAGUGAUGGAAAAUUUUCAGUGGCUCUUAUUUUCCUUCCUCCCAACU